CCUACGGGUGGCUGCAGUCGAGAAUCUUGGGCAAUGCACGAAAGUGUGACCCAGCGACGCCGCGUGGAGGAUGAAGGCCCUUGGGUCGUAAACUCCUUUUAUGUGGGAAGAACACCCUCACGGGUUUGACGGUACCACAUGAAUAAGCCACGGCUAACUACGUGCCAGCAGCCGCGGUAAUACGUAGGUGGCAAGCGUUGUCCGGAUUUACUGGGCGUAAAGCGUAUGCAGGCGGAUCAUUAAGUAGGAAGUGAAAGGUUGGAGCUCAACUCCGA
rnacentral:rRNA from 1 species